rnacentral:rRNA from 1 species
UAGGGAAUCUUCGGCAAUGGACGGAAGUCUGACCGAGCAACGCCGCGUGAGUGAAGAAGGUUUUCGGAUCGUAAAGCUCUGUUGUUAGAGAAGAACGUUGGUAGGAGUGGAAAAUCUACCAAGUGACGGUAACUAACCAGAAAGGGACGGCUAACUACGUGCCAGCAGCCGCGGUAAUACGUAGGUCCCGAGCGUUGUCCGGAUUUAUUGGGCGUAAAGCGAGCGCAGGCGGUUCUUUAAGUCUGAAGUUAAAGGCAGUGGCUUAACCAUUGUACGCUUUGGAAACAGGAGGACUUGAGUGCAGAAGGGGAGAGUGGAAUUCCAUGUGUAGCGGUGAAAUGCGUAGAUAUAUGGAGGAACACCGGUGGCGAAAGCGGCUCUCUGGGCUGUAACUGACGCUGAGGCUCGAAAGCGUGGGGAGCAAACAGG